AUUGAACGCUGGCGGUAUGCUUAACACAUGCAAGUCGAACGGUAGCAGGCCUUCGGGCGCUGACGAGUGGCGGACGGGUGAGUAAUGCAUAGGAAUCUGCCUAUUAGUGGGGGAUAACGUGGGGAAACUCACGCUAAUACCGCAUACGCACUACGGGGGAAAGCGGGGGACUUUCGGGCCUCGCGCUAAUAGAUGAGCCUAUGUUGGAGUAGUUAGUUGGUGGGGUAAAGGCCUACCAAGGCGACGAUCCAUAGCUGGUCUGAGAGGAUGAUCAGCCACACUGGGACUGAGACACGGCCCAGACUCCUACGGGAGGCAGCAGUGGGGAAUAUUGGACAAUGGGCGAAAGCCUGAUCCAGCAAUACCGCGUGUGUGAAGAAGGCCUGAGGGUUGUAAAGCACUUUCAAUGGGAAGGAAUACCUACCGGCCAAUACCCGGUAGACUGACAUUACCCAUACAAGAAGCACCGGCUAACUCCGUGCCAGCCGCCGCGGUAAUAC
rnacentral:rRNA from 1 species